rnacentral:rRNA from 1 species
ACAAGGUCUCCGUAGGUGAACCUGCGGAGGGAUCAUUACACACAUA